ACUUUACAAUGCGGGAAACCGUGAUAAGGGGACACCGAGUGCUAGCAUCAUAUGCUGGCUGUCCAGGUGUGUAAAAUACACCUGUUAGCAAGGGCCGGGCAAGACCGGUGCCAGCCGCCGCGGUAACACCGGCGGCCCGAGUGGUGAUCGUGAUUAUUGGGUCUAAAGGGUCCGUAGCCUGUUUGGUCAGUCCUCCGGGAAAUCUGACAGCUUAACUGUUAGGCUUUCGGAGGAUACUGCCAGACUUGGAACCGGGAGAGGUAAGAGGUACUACAGGGGUAGGAGUGAAAUCUUGUAAUCCCUGUGGGACCACCUGUGGCGAAGGCGUCUUACCAGAACGGGUUCGACGGUGAGGGACGAAAGCUGGGGGCACGAACCGG
rnacentral:rRNA from 1 species